rnacentral:lncRNA from 1 species
GCUGCUCUCAAAAGAUUUUAUAAUAUCAGCCUUAAAAAUCGCAUUUCUUUGGCAAAUUUCUCCAGCAUAAAGGCAGCCAUAAACUGGAAGAAAAAAUGCCUUUAGGCUUACGAAUUCUUCCUUCUCUCAAGCAUCAAAAUGCUGUUAUUUUGAGAAGCGUCUGUGUUCAUUGUUUCUCUGAAAUCUGAACUUUUUCCACUUGGAGACAGUUAACUCCCUGAGAAUCUUGCAGGAACGGUAUUAGAUGUUGAUCUCCUUGCAGGAGGACGGGGUGAAGCAGACAGCCAGGCCACAUCGAUCUGGGCUGCAGGAUGUGUUUAGUGAAAAAUCUAUAGGGCUCAGCUUAGGGUGUCAGCUGUCAGUCUGCAGAGCAUCUGUCAGAGGAGUAUUUGCUUCACUGCCGCUGAAUAGCCCUCAGAAAGCUGAACAGAGGCACCCAGAGGACCGUGAAUAUUGGCAGAACUCCUCAAGAUUGAUUUGUGCAGUGUUGGAAGAUGAUAGGACUUUAAAUCCAUACUUCAGGAGGCCUGAAAAUCACCUAUCUGGAGUGAAGAGAUGGCAACAGGUCACCAGAUGGGUGCAGCCAGCAGCAUCACUGCAGAAGGUGGAAGCCUGA